GCCCAGGGAUGAUACCAUCCUUCCCGGUCCCUCCCUGAUUAGACUCAUUGAAGGUCUCCUGUAACCCACUGCCUCUUACCAGUGUGUGGCCUUGGGUCCUGGAAAAGUCCUUCAUUUAGAGCAGAAACCAAAGCUUCAGCUUUGCAGCCCAGAACCUUCAGCAAAUAUUUGCUAUUCCAAAGUAUGAUCCCCUGUGGGACGGUUACUGAUUAACAUCCUGCUUGUGAUGGUGGAGUUUCUGGAAAACCAAAGACCAAGUGGGAGGCUUCCCAUACUCCCCAGCUCCUCCUAUAACCCGGAAUAUGACCCAAAUCCCAUCACGAGAGCUUCUGCCUUGCAACUCAAGGCUUCGCCCCAGUAAGAUUCAGCUCUGUCUGGGUGGGGUGUGGGGAAUUUGUCUUGAGCUGUUCUAGGUGCUGAACACCUCGAGAAAGAAGGCACUGGGGGAUCCCAUGGAUGCUUCCUGAGUCCCCAGCCUGGUACUGGACACUAUGAGGAUGUGGGUUGGGGGGCACAGCAGAAAUGUUCAGGACCUGUUCUCUCAGCCCCCAAGGAACUGGUCAAUCCAGUGGGGGAGGCAGACAGGUAAAUCACUACUUAGAGUACAUAGCUCCUUUCAAGGUAAAUUUCCUGCUUCACAAUGUUGCUGGACUUGAGACUGAAUCCUCGGGCACUCAGAGUUGAGGCUGGUGGAGACCGUUUAUGGCAAAACUUUUCAGACUUCUCAGACUCUCUUUUUUAAUAUAUAUAAGUAAAUAUUUUGUUAUGUGCCCCUUACUACUACCAUUGAAGUGAAACGUAUAGCUAAUAUAAUCUACCCACAAAAUUAAAAAAAAGAUAAUGCUGUAAUGAUAAUAUGGAGGCAUAAUAAAAGAGAAUAAUGUGUCCCUGAAUAUGGCAGUGCUGUGGCCUAAGGGCCUGGGCAGGUGCAGUGAGGCUGUCCAAUGUGGAGCCCACGGGAGGUCGCUUGUGUGCUGCUCACUGCUGGCCGGUGAACAAGAAAACCAAUGGUACUACCAGGGAUAGAGCUUUUGAAAUGGUAAAUAAUGCUUGGUAAAGUUUCAAACAAAAUAAAAUAUAGAUCUUUCCCUGAUUUACACGGUCAUUGUCUUCACAGAAAAUGCAGUGUGUAGUAAAACCUUGGAUAAAUAUUAUAUUUUUAUAUGAAAUAAAGCAGCCCCAGGACUGACAGUCUAGGCUCAGAUAAUCCCACGUGAACUUGAGGUGGACAUGUGAGUCCUGGGGAACCCGGCGGCCUCUUCAUCAUGGGAGACUGCCCUGCGUGUUCUGGUAUGUCUGGCAUUGCUAACCCUCAAUCCUUAAAUGCUAGUAGUACUCCCCCCAAACGUUUGUGAAAGGCAGAAGUGUCCCAACAAGUUUCCAGAGUGUUCCUUUUGGGCAGUACCUGCUCUGUUAAUAGGCAGUUCUUUAAGAGGUGAAAGUGAGGGUGUAGAGGGGCCAGGCUGGACUCACACCACGCACAGGAGUCAGCCUUUGCCUGCCCAUCCAGGUCGAGCUCUGCAGCUGCGGGCUUGUGGAUUCCCAAAAAGCAGGGGCUGUUUCCUCCAGGCCUGGGAAGGUGUCUGCUUUGCUAAAUGUCUGAGCGGAGCCAGCGAGUGUGCAGGUCUUAGGGCACAGGGUUUCUUUCUUUUUUUUUUUUUUUUUGAGACGGAGUCUCUGUCUGUCACCCAGGCACUGUCUGUCUCAGCUCACUGAGACCUCCACCUCCCAGGUUCAAACAGUUCUCCUGCCUCAGCCUCCCGAGUAGCUGGGAUUACAGGCGCCUGCCACCACGCUAAUUUUUCUAUUUUUAGUAGAGACGGGGUUUCACCAUAUUGGCCAGGCUGGUCUCAAACUCCUGACCUCGUGGUCCUCCUGCCUUGGCCUCCCAAAGUACUGGAAUUACAGGUGUGAGCCACCGUGCCUGGCCAGGGCACAGGGUUUCAGAAAUGGAUCCUUAUAAAGGAAGGCAGCGGAGUAUAUUGGGAAGAUUGUGAAGGCUUCAGCCAGGCCAUUGCCUCCUGCCCUGGUGUGAAUCUGAGGUCCUCUGCUCCCGGUUCCUAGCUGCUGGGAUGUAAGUUAACCUCACCGAGCCAGCCUUUCUUCCUCUGUUAAGUGGCCAGAACUCAGACUCUGUCCUAUGAAUAUCUCUGCAGCACCGAGGAACCAGGAAGGGGGUGGACGAUUUUGCUCCUAAGGCUGUGAGCCCUGGACCCCAGGGUGUGGCUCAGAAGUCCCCCUCCUUCAGGGAGGACAUUAUUCCUGUACAGCUCCCAACAAGGGAGCUGCCCACUCUUUGACCUUUAGCCCUCCAGUUAGAUGGGAAAGUGAGAAAACUCAAUGCAUAGCACUGUAGCCUGAGCUCUUUUACCAGCAGCAUGACCCUGAACAAGCUACCUAACCUCUCUUAGCCUCAGUUUACUAAUCUGUAAAAUGGGGUGCCCCAGGCUGAGCUGUUAGGACUUCUGAGAGGAUGAACUGAGGUGGUGCCUGUGGAGUUGAGUAUCUCGCCCGGUAGGAAGGAAGUGCUAAAGGAAUGGCAUUUGUUGCAUAAUUUUAGAGCCAGAUUGAACCUCAGAAGUAAGUAACCCUGUCCCCAGGCUUUGAUUUUAUAAAGGAAGAUAUUCAGGCCCCACCAUGAAGGCCUUUCCUGCUAGAGUUAAAGCAGAAUAGACCAGGCUGUCUGACUUCCAGUUGUUAUGAACUUUAGCUUCUCACACUCCUUGGCCAAAAACGAUUGGGAAAGCUCUGACGGGAAGGCCUCUGGUGAUCCAGAUAAACUCAUAGGCGAUGCAGAACCCUUCCUGGAACUCCCCUCAGGCAGGAGGCACAACUUCUGAAAGCCACUCUUCAGGGCGACAUCGAGGGGCUUCUAAAGCAAAUUUGUCCAGAGACCUACAGGGUUAAACGUCUGAAAAACAAGCGUUAGGGCAGUCCUAUGAGACCAAAAGCAGACUCCAGGAAACAGUGAGAGAACUGCAAGAGUUUACUUUGUGUGGAUCAGAUGAAGGGGGUGUUUGGGUAGGUGGGUAGUAAAGGAAACCAGACUAUGUUACCCCUUGAUAUGGUCUGUCUGUGUCCCCACCCAAAUCUUAUCUUGAAUUGUAGCUCCCAUAAUUCCCACGUGUUGUUGGGGGGUACCCAGUGGGAGAUCAUUGAAUCAUAGAGGUGGUUUCCCCCAUACUGUUCUUGUGGUAGUGAGUAAGUCUCACGAGAUCUGAUGGUUUUAUAAGGGGAUUUUUAAGGGGAAAUUCCUUUCGCUUGGCUCUCAUUCUCCCUCUUGCCUGCUGCCAUGUAAGACCUGCCUUGAUUGUGAGGCCUCUCCAACCAUGUGGAACGGUGAGUCCAUUAAACCUCUUUUUCUUUAUAAAUUACCCAGUCUUGGGUAUGUCUUUAUUAGCAGUGUGAAAAUAAACUAACAUACCUCUAAAUAUGCCUUUCUGAUAUAAAAAUUAUUUUUGAACUGAAGGUAAUUAAGAAACAGCAAAUGGAGAAAUAGUUUUCUCUAUCUUUCCCCCUUUCUUCCUAAAGACAGAUAAAAAUUCAUCUUUACUGGAAAUGACUCUAGACUCUUAUCAACCCAGAGAUGGCAUCAGAGGAAUAUGCAAACAAGCCUUAUUCCUUUAGUUUCCUCCCAUAUAUUUACCUUCCAUGAUUUCCUGCCCUUGGAAGCAUAAAACCACUUCCCUUGUCCCGAUCCAUGAUUUUCCUGCUAAUUUAUUGCUCUUUACUAAAGGAGUCUAUCCCAAAAAAGAACUAAGAUGGGAAGAAGUCAAGUUUAGCCUCCCCCCACAGUAGUACAGAGUUUUCUUUUAACAGGUGCGCUCCGAGCGUGGGAACCACUGUUCUGCUCUGGAAUUCCCUAGAGGCCCCUUCCCUGGUGUGUUCCAAAAGCAGAAUCUCAAGAAUGACAGGUCACUGAGUGAGGAGCCAUGGUGGAGACAGGUCUGCGUGACUCAGAAGAAUACCCCUGCACUGGGCCAGCUGAGCCCUCCCAGGCCCUGACCCGCGGCCAGCAUCCUUCAUCGGUGGUGCCGACUGGAGCAGAUGCAUUGUAGCUUGCAGGCUGCGACUCUGUGGCUGUUGUGGCUGUUGUGGCUAUCUGGCUGGGCUUAGGAGCAUCAAUCAUGGCAGUGGACGAGAAUGGUUCUUAGCUACAGCCCUCUGUGUCAGCCCCCUGCAUGGCAGGAACCCAGGGGACAUCGGAACCCCUGUGGAUGACUCACAGACUCCGGGGUCUGGAAAAUCCUAACCAGAUUGCCUCAUAACACUGCUGGCUGCCCUAAUGUUCAAUGUGCCCUUUAAAAAAACAAAGCAUCUCAACAAACCAAACAAGCGAGCUGCAGCCAUGGCUUUGCUCUGGAGGCUGGGCAGGGGGAGGGACAGAGGGUUCUCAGGUGUUACUCACAGUCUGCGGUGGGCUCAGGCUGUUUCUGCUGGCUUGGUCCUGCUGUCCUGGACCCUAGCAUGUGUACAGUAAGCCUGCGGUGGAUGCUGCCUGUUAAAUUUUGUUUGCCAGCUUCCUGGGUGGUUAAUGGUUAGAGGGGCCAGUGGCCUUCACCGCUUGGUAGUCCUCUCCCCCGAGUCAUUAACCAAUGGGAGGCUUUGUCAGGAUAGCUGAGUAAACACAGAAAUGCUGCAAAUUAACUUUGCUCUGCGUUCAAUUCUAUGAAGUCUUUUUUUAAUACCAAAAUGUGGCUGGAGUUGCAUCAAUGUGGUUGCCCUGUGUCAGUUGGCAGAGAUGUCUUAGGUGCCCUUAAUUAGCACCAAGGUGCAGAUACUUGUAAAAAGAAAAAUAGGUGUUUAGCUCCAAUUGGGGAUGACUUGGGCAAGGUCCUGCCUUCCAGUGGUCUUAGUCUGGUGGGAGAGACAGACAUGGAAUAAUAUCUGCCAAGCGCUUCCUCUGGAUUAUCUCACGAAAUCUUCACAAUGACUCUGUGAAGUGGGUACCAUUGUCACUCCUCUUUAGAUAGGAAACUGAGCUGCAUGGAAGUUAAGUUAAACGCCCUUGAGAUUCAAAUCCAAGGCCAUUCAAUUCUAAAGUCUAGCACCUUCCCCUUUCCCCACAUUUUAUUUUUCAUCAGUUUUCUUUGGAUUACAGGUGACAGACAUCAAAUUUGAACUGCUUUAAAGCAAAAAGGAAUGAAUGAGAGGUCCAAGGGUGGAAAGGACUUCAGGCAUGGAUCUACGGAGUUCUAAAUCAGGCAUCAGAUCUCUCCUUCUCUCUCUCUCUCUGUCUUUUUUUUUUUUUUAUUCCUUCCUAGCUCUGCUUUCUUCUACUUUAUUCUGUCUGCAUUGGGGACAAAUGUGGCCACAGUAGCUCUGGGUUAUUUAGUUCUAACUGGUUAGUUGAUAUCAGAAGGAGAGAAAUUCUCAUUUUUCUCAAUGUUCAUAACAGUUCCCCCCAAAAGUCUAUGGCGUGGUUGCCCCCCUUAGGACUGAUUGAUCACAGUGUGGAGAAGGAUGAGGCAUUGUGAAUGCCUCGCUAGGGUUCUUUGCUCUCUGUUGGGUUGACAGCAUCAUUGCUUCCAUCCAGAGAUGAGGGAAUCUCUUCCCAGGGGAAAAGAGGAGAGUAGAGCCUACAAAUGGGUCUGCAGUUUUGGAGACACCUUAGUUUUGUAGAUGUUUAUUGGUCUUUUCAAGUUUCCUAUCCUAUAAGGCAAGUUUGAACUUUAUAUCUAGGAAUUUAUCUAUUUCAUCUAGAUUUUCAAAUUAAAUACUACAGUUAUUCAUUAGGCCUCUCCAUUAUUAUUUUUACAUUAUUAUUUUAUAUCAGUAAUUCUUUUUUCUUUUUUUGUUCUGUAUUUUGUUUAUGUCUUUUCUCCCUUUGAUAAGUCCUGUUACAGAGAUCUAUAUAGCUAAUUAAUCUUUCCAAAGAUCCACCUUUUAGUUUUGUUACUGGUUUUUUAAAAAAUUGAUAUUUCAUUGAUUUCUGUUUAUAUCUUUAUUUUUUAAUCACCCCUUUAAAUUCUCUGGGUUUUGGUCUGUUGUGCUUUUUUCUAUUUUCUUGAGAUAAAUGCUUAGCUUUCUUACAUUUUAAUAUUUCCAGUCUCCACAUAAAUGUAUUUAAGGUUACAAGUUUUCAUCUAAAUACUGAGUGAGCUAUGUCCCACGCAUUUUUGAUAAUUACUAUUUUCAUUGUAAUUUUUUUCUAAGUAUUUUAAAAUUUCUUUUCUGGUUUCCUUUAAAACCAGAGUGUAGUUUAGUAAUAUGUCACUGAGUUUAUUUAGAAUUUUAGGCUAUUCUCUUGUUAUUCACUUCCAAUUUUAUUUCACUAUGGUCAAAGAAUAUUGUCCAUUAUGAUAUUGAACAUUUGGAAUGUUUUGAGGUUUGUAAUAGCCAUAUAUGGUCUUUUUUUUUUUUUUUUUUUCGAGACGGAGUCUUCCUUUGUCAUCCAGUCUGGAGUACGGUGGCGUGAUCUCGGCUCACUGCAACCUCCGUCUCCUGGGUUCAAGGGAUUCUCCUGCCUCAGCCUCCCGAGUAGUUGGGACUGCAGGCGUGAGCCACCAUGCCCAGCUAAUAUUUUUUAUUUUUAGUAGAGACAGGGCUUCACCGUGUUAGCCAGGAUGGUCUCAAUCUCCUGACCUCAUGAUCCGCCCGCCUCGGCCUCCCAAAGUGCUGGGAUUACAGGCGUGAGCCACCGUGCCCAGCUCAUAUAUGGCCUAUUUUAAUAAACAUUUCAUGUUUUCUUUAAAAAAUAAUGGAUAUCUGUUUGAUAUGUAUAUAUACACAUUCAUAUAUGUAUAUAUGUAAUAACUUGAGCUUAUUUUAUUUAAAUCUUCAUAUUUAUGUUGAUUAUUUAUUUAAGCUUUCAGUUUCUCAUUGGGGAAUGUUAAAAUCACCAAUAGCAAUUGUUCACUUACUUCUCUUGGUCAGUUGUUGCUUGACUUACUUCAAGACUGUAUAUUAAAGCACA
rnacentral:lncRNA from 10 species